rnacentral:rRNA from 1 species
AGUGAACGCUGGCGGUAGGCCUAACACAUGCAAGUCGAACGGCAGCACAGUAAGAGCUUGCUCUUACGGGUGGCGAGUGGCGGACGGGUGAGGAAUACAUCGGAAUCUACUUUUUCGUGGGGGAUAACGUAGGGAAACUUACGCUAAUACCGCAUACGACCUACGGGUGAAAGCAGGGGAUCUUCGGACCUUGCGCGAUUGAAUGAGCCGAUGUCGGAUUAGCUAGUUGGCGGGGUAAAGGCCCACCAAGGCGACGAUCCGUAGCUGGUCUGAGAGGAUGAUCAGCCACACUGGAACUGAGACACGGUCCAGACUCCUACGGGAGGCAGCAGUGGGGAAUAUUGGACAAUGGGCGCAAGCCUGAUCCAGCCAUACCGCGUGGGUGAAGAAGGCCUUCGGGUUGUAAAGCCCUUUUGUUGAGAAAGAAAAGCAGCAGGUUAAUACCCCGCUGUUCUGACGGUACCCAAAGAAUAAGCACCGGCUAACUUCG